rnacentral:misc_RNA from 1 species
UUUCCGUAGGUGAACCUGCGGAAGGAUCAUUAUUGGAUUUUGGAACUUCAGGCUGCUGCUGGCUCUCCUCGGAGGGCAUGUGCACGCUUGUUGUCCAUUAUUUCUCCCACUGUGCACAAAUUGUAGACCUUUCAGUAGGCCUAUGUUGUUUUUCACAAUCUCUGAAUGUAAUAGAAUGGUUUUGAAUCUUGGGAAAUACAAUACAACUUUCAGCAACGGAUCUCUUGGCUCUCGCGUCGAUGAAGAACGCAGC